ensembl:snRNA U7 U7 small nuclear RNA
CAGUAUUACAGCUCUUUCAGAAUUUGUGUAGUAGGUUUUACAGAAACCUCC